rnacentral:rRNA from 1 species
UACGUAGGGCGCAAGCGUUAUCCGGAAUUAUUGGGCGUAAAGAGCUCGUAGGCGGUUUGUCGCGUCUGCCGUGAAAGUCCGGGGCUCAACUCCGGAUCUGCGGUGGGUACGGGCAGACUAGAGUGAUGUAGGGGAGACUGGAAUUCCUGGUGUAGCGGUGAAAUGCGCAGAUAUCAGAAGGAACACCGAUGGCGUAAGCAGUCUACUGGCUCAUUCCUGACACUAAGGCACGAAAGCGUGGGGAGCAAACAGG